GAAAAUUGCAGUGGUCACCAGAGGUCGCAGUGGUUACCAUGCAUGCAAAGGAUUAGCUUUUGCAACUGUGCUCUUCGUGGAUGUUUGGUCAAUAACUUGUUUUAUUUGGAAAGUAGCCUUUCUUUAAGCUCUUGAUGAAACAAGAAACAAAGACGGACCUUUAAUUUUUGUCAAUGUUAAGUGCUUGAGAUAUGAAUUGAUAGUGGAGUAAAAGGUUUAAUGUUGUAAUCUCCAAGGCCUUCAAAUGGUGACAUGGGUGAAAAGUCAGUUCCCUAUUUUGCUCUACAAGCUCACGUAUGCAUAAGGAUUACUCCAUGAUUGCUACAGAAUUGAGGGCUAGAAGGGCUAUAUAGUCCUUUUGGGCAUGUAAGUCAUGGUUAUGGGUUAGUACAGUACCAUAUGUGACUGCAUUCAUCAACAAGAUGCACGGUGCAGGAUAAAAUGAUCAGGACUGUCAAUAUAGAAAUAGAUGCAUAGAGAUUAUCUUGAAGGCAUAGCAGGGUUCUCAUCGAUACAAAACAUAGUGAGAUGGUUGUAAGGUGACAAUACUUAGACAACAUAAGUGGCUUAAAAUUCCAUUCCCAGAAGCCUCCUGAGCCUCCUGAGCUUGAAGAGAUUGCGGAAGAUUUAGGUCCUGAGCCUCCUGAAAAUUUAGGGACAAGUAAUGGAGUCUCCUCCUUUUGGUUCGAGCCGUGGGCAUUCGGAUCCCUCCUCUUCAUCUCGUACUCCAUAAUCUAGGUCUUUCAAGUUCUGGUUUUAUCUUCUCUAGUAGUUUUUGGAUGGUGAUUAGGGAUUUCAAGGUUUUUGACAAAAACUUGAUAAUGCCUUUCUUAGACUGCUUGUUUGAGUUUUGUGUUCUUCUGCCAUGGAUUGUCAUUCGACUGUGGGAUCUCUGGUUUUAGUUUCUAAAGUCUCAAAUCUUUUUUAAUGUUUUUUGAAAUAUAGCUUUUAAAUAUUAAUAUAAAAUUGCAUCGGCUAUGGCCCUUUUACUGAAAAAUAAAA